CGGUUGACCUCGGAUCAGGUAGGGAUACCCGCUGAACUUAAGCAUAUCAAUAAGCGGAGGAAAAGAAACCAACCGGGAUUGCCUCAGUAACGGCGAGUGAAGCGGCAACAGCUCAAAUUUGAAAUCUGGCCCCUGCGGGGUCCGAGUUGUAAUUUGCAGAGGGUGUUUCGGGCGCGGGGCCGGUCUAAGUCCCUUGGAACAGGGCGUCAAAGAGGGUGAGAAUCCCGUCUGCGACUCGGCCACCAACCCCGGGUGAAACCCCUUCGACGAGUCGAGUUGUUUGGGAAUGCAGCUCAAAAUGGGUGGUAAAUUUCAUCUAAAGCUAAAUACCGGCCGGAGACCGAUAGCGCACAAGUAGAGUGAUCGAAAGAUGAAAAGCACUUUGGAAAGAGAGUUAAACAGUACGUGAAAUUGUUGAAAGGGAAGCGCUUGCGACCAGACCUAACCCCGGGCGAUCAUCCGUCACGCGUUGACGGUGCACGCGCCCGGACGCAGGCCAGCAUCGGUUCGGGCGGCGGGACAAAUGGCCCGGGAAUGUAGCUCCCUCCGGGGAGCCUUAUAGCCCGGGUCGCCAUGCCGCCCGCCCGGACCGAGGACCGCGCUUCGGCUAGGAUGCUGGCGUAAUGGUCGUAAGCGACCC
rnacentral:rRNA from 1 species